rnacentral:rRNA from 1 species
AGAGUUUGAUCCUGGCUCAGAAUGAACGCUGGCGACGUGCUUAACACAUGCAAGUCGAACGAGAAAUCUCCUGCUUGCAGGAGAAAGUAAAGUGGCGUACGGGUGAGUAACGCGUGGGUAAUCUACCUUCGGAUUCGGGAUAACAUUGCGAAAGCGAUGCUAAUACCGGAUGAUAUCCUUUGGAUUGCGGUUUGAGGGAUGAAAGAUGGCCACUCCAUGGAAGCUAUUGUUUGGAGAUGAGCCCGCGUACCAUUAGCUUGUUGGUAGGGUAAUGGCCUACCAAGGCAACGAUGGUUAGCUGGUCUGAGAGGGUGAUCAGCCACACUGGAACUGACACACGGUCCAGACUCCUACGGGAGGCAGCAGUGAGGAAUUUUGCGCAAUGGGGGAAACCCUGACGCAGCAACGCCGUGUGAGUGAUGAAGGCUUUCGGGUCGUAAAGCUCUGUCAAGUGGGAAGAAACUGCAUAUGUUUAAUAAGCAUAUGUACUGACGGUACCACUGAAGGAAGCACCGGCUAACUCCGUGCCAGCAGCCGCGGUAAUACGGGGGGUGCAAGCGUUAUUCGGAAUUAUUGGGCGUAAAGGGCGCGUAGGCGGUCUUUUAAGUCAGAUGUGAAAGCCCAGGGCUUAACCCUGGAAGUGCAUUUGAUACUGGGAGACUUGAGUAUGGGAGAGGGAAGUGGAAUUCCUGGUGUAGAGGUGAAAUUCGUAGAUAUGUGGAGGAACACCCGUGGCGAAGGCGACUGCCUGGCCCAAUACUGACGCUGAGGUGCGAAAGCGUGGGUAGCGAACAGGAUUAGAUACCCUGGUAGUCCACGCUGUGAACGAUGUCAACUAGCCGUUGGAGGACUUGAUCUUUUAGUGGCGCAGCUAACGCGAUAAGUUGACCGCCUGGGGAGUACGGCCGCAAGGUUAAAACUCAAAUGAAUUGACGGGGGCCCGCACAAGCGGUGGAGCAUGUGGUUUAAUUCGAGGCAACGCGAAGAACCUUACCAGGUCUUGACAUCCUGAGAAUCCUGUAGAGAUACGGGAGUGCCUUCGGGAAUUCAGUGACGGGUGCUGCAUGGCUGUCGUCAGCUCGUGUCGUGAGAUGUUGGGUUAAGUCCCGUAACGAGCGCAACCCUUGUCCUUAGUUGCUAGCAGGUGAUGCUGAGAACUCUAAGGAGACUGCCGGUGACAAACCGGAGGAAGGUGGGGACGACGUCAAGUCAUCAUGGCCCUUACGACCUGGGCUACACACGUGCUACAAUGGCCGGUACAAAGGGCAGCAAAGCGGUGACGUGGAGCCAAUCCCAUAAAACCGGUCGUAGUCCGGAUUGGAGUCUGCAACUCGACUCCAUGAAGUCGGAAUCGCUAGUAAUCGUAGAUCAGAAUGCUACGGUGAAUACGUUCCCGGGCCUUGUACACACCGCCCGUCACACCAUGGGAGUGGGUUGCACCAGAAGUGGCUAGUCUAACCUUCGGGGGGACGGUCACCACGGUGUGGUUCAUGACUGGGGUGAAGUC